rnacentral:misc_RNA from 1 species
CAGCAGCUGACGCGAAAUACUAUGGAAAUAAUGAAGUUUAUAAUAUCUUAAAGGCCCGGGGAGCCAAAGUCCCGAAACUCAGAAACACACCAAUGACUGUAGCAAAUCCUCGAGAAGUUCCAGAAUAUGAAUUAAAUCCACUGGAGCUUCAAAUCCGAAAAAGGGAUGGAAUUUCUAAGGGUUCGUAUCAAGUUGCUAAAUGGAAUGGGACAAAAGUUUCUGUCAAGAUACUUGACAAGG